rnacentral:lncRNA from 1 species
UUUGCCUCCAGAUCAUAUAGUAAACAAACGAAAUGGAGAGAAAAGAGAAGAGAGGAGAAUCUCUCAGAUGGUGAAUCUUCUUAGAACGAUUAUAGGCUCCCUCUAUUUCCCCUAUAGUCCUUUCCUCAUUCUUGUUUUUGACCUUGAUGAAUUGUCUGUGGCACAUAUGCUUGGAUUUAUGACGAGAGUAAGGAAAGGACUAUGUGAAAAGUUGAGGGUGAGGGUGAUGGUGGCGGGUAACAUUCCAGCAGGCUACACCUAACCUACAUCAAAGGUGUCAAUAUUUAUAUCAUGGCCAUCAUAGAAAUGCUAUAAUCUUAUUUGUAGAGGCACCUUUGUCGAGAUGUACAUGAUGUUUGAGAUACCUAACUGCUUGCAUGGGACUAUGAUCUAAUGCACUCUCAUUCACUUUCAAUAAAAGAACUUGAGAUAAGGAGAACUAUGUCCUUCUCUUGCCUUUCAUUCUCAGGACUUUGGUGUGCCACGGGCCCAUGAAUUUAGUUGACCUCGUGCAUGUGGUGGUAGCACAUUCUUAUCUUAGCCUAGUCUUUAGUUUAUUGUAUUUUGUAACAGACUUCCCAAUCUCGUUCUAUGUAAUCUUUUGCCCCAUUUGGAGGCUAUUUUGUAAGAAAGAAGAAGCUUUCAAC